rnacentral:rRNA from 4 species
UACGAAGGGGGCUAGCGUUGUUCGGAAUUACUGGGCGUAAAGCGCACGUAGGCGGAUCGAUCAGUCAGGGGUGAAAUCCCAGAGCUCAACUCUGGAACUGCCUUUGAUACUGUCGAUCUAGAGUAUGGAAGAGGUGAGUGGAAUUCCGAGUGUAGAGGUGAAAUUCGUAGAUAUUCGGAGGAACACCAGUGGCGAAGGCGGCUCACUGGUCCAUUACUGACGCUGAGGUGCGAAAGCGUGGGGAGCAAACAGG